rnacentral:rRNA from 1 species
CCUACGGGAGGCAGCAGUGAGGAAUAUUGGUCAAUGGACGAGAGUCUGAACCAGCCAAGCAGCGUGAAUGAUGAAUGCCCUCUGGGUGGUAAACUUCUUUUAUAUGGGAAUAAAAUGUUCCACGUGUGGGAUUUUGUAUGUACCAUAUGAAUAAGGCUAGGCUAACUCCGUGCCAGCGGCCGCGGUAAUACGGAGGAUCCGAGCGUUAUCCGGAUUUAAUGGGUUUAAAGGGAGCGUAGGUGGAUUGUUAAGUCAGUUGUGAAAGCUUGCGGCUCAACCGUAAAAUUGCAGUUGAAACUGGGAGGCUUGAGUACAGUAGAGGUGGGCGGAAUUCCUGGUGUAGCGGUGAAAUGCGUAGAUAUCACGAAGAACACCGAUGGCGAAGGCAGCUCGCUGGACUGCAACUGACACUGAGGCUCGAAAGUGUGGGUAUCAAACAGGAUUAGAUACCCCUGUAGUC